rnacentral:rRNA from 1 species
UACGUAGGGGGGCUAGCGUUGUUCGGAAUUACUGGGCGUAAAGCGCACGUAGGCGGAUAUUUAAGUUAGGGGUGAAAUCCCAGGGCUCAACCCUGGAACUGCCUUUAAUACUGGGUAUCUCGAGUCCGAGAGAGGUGAGUGGAAUUCCGAGUGUAGAGGUGAAAUUCGUAGAUAUUCGGAGGAACACCAGUGGCGAAGGCGGCUCACUGGCUCGGUACUGACGCUGAGGUGCGAAAGCGUGGGGAGCAAACAGG